rnacentral:rRNA from 1 species
AUACGAAGGGGGCUAGCGUUGUUCGGAAUUACUGGGCGUAAAGCGCGCGUAGGCGGACUGAUCAGUGGGGGGUGAAAUCCCAGGGCUUAACCCUGGAACUGCCUUCAAUACUGUCAGUCUUGAGAUUGGAAGAGGUGAGUGGAAUUCCUAGUGAAGAGGUGAAAUUCAUAGAUAUUAGGAGGAACACCAGUGGCGAAGGCGGCUCACUGGUCCAAUACUGACGCUGAGGUACGAAAGCGUGGGGAGCAAACAGGAUUAGAAACCCUAGUAGUCC